rnacentral:rRNA from 1 species
AGGCCUAACACAUGCAAGUCGAGCGAUGAAGCACCUUCGGGUGUGGAUUAGCGGCGAACGGGUGAGGAACACGUGAAGAAUCUGCCUUCAACUCUGGGAUAACUCCGGGAAACCGGGGCUAAUACCGGAUAUGAGCCUUGGCCGCAUGGCCGGGGCUGGAAAGUUUUUCGGUUGAAGAUGACUUCGCGGCCUAUCAGCUUGUUGGUGAGGUAACGGCUCACCAAGGCGACGACGGGUAGCCGGCCUGAGAGGGCGACCGGCCACACUGGGACUGAGACACGGCCCAGACUCCUACGGGAGGCAGCAGUGGGGAAUAUUGGGCAAUGGAGGAAACUCUGACCCAGCGACGCCGCGUGAGGGAUGAAGGCCUUCGGGUUGUAAACCUCUUUCAGUAGGGAAGAAGCGAAAGUGACGGUACCUACAGAAGAAGCACCGGCUAACUAUGUGCCAGCAGCCGCGGUAAUACAUAGGGUGCAAGCGUUGUCCGGAAUUAUUGGGCGUAAAGAGCUCGUAGGUGGUUCGAUACGUCGGAUGUGAAAAUCAGGGGCUCAACCCCUGACCUGCAUUCGAUACGGUCGAGCUAGAGUUUGGUAGGGGAGACUGGAAUUCCUGGUGUAGCGGUGGAAUGCGCAGAUAUCAGGAGGAACACCGAUGGCGAAGGCAGGUCUCUGGGCCAAUACUGACACUGAGGAGCGAAAGCGUGGGGAGCGAACAGGAUUAGAUACCCUGGUAGUCCACGCCCUAAACGAUGCGAACUAG